rnacentral:rRNA from 1 species
UACAGAGGUGGCAAGCGUUGUUCGGAAUUACUGGGCGUAAAGGGCGCGUAGGCGGCCUUCUAAGUCGGACGUGAAAUCCCCAGGCUUAACUUGGGAACUGCGUCUGAUACUGGAAGGCUUGAGUGCGGGAGAGGGAUGUGGAAUUCCAGGUGUAGCGGUGAAAUGCGUAGAUAUCUGGAGGAAUACCGGUGGCGAAGGCGGCAUCCUGGACCAACACUGACGCUGAGGAGCGAAAGCGUGGGGAGCGAACAGG